UACGUAGGGUGCAAGCGUUGUCCGGAAUUAUUGGGCGUAAAGAGCUCGUAGGCGGUUAGUCGCGUCUGCUGUGAAAACUCGGGGCUUAACUCCGGGCCUGCAGUGGGUACGGGCUGACUAGAGUGCGGUAGGGGAGACUGGAAUUCCUGGUGUAGCGGUGAAAUGCGCAGAUAUCGGGAGGAACACCGGUGGCGAAGGCGGUUCUCUGGGCCUGUACUGACGCUGAGGAGCGAAAGCGUGGGGAGCGAACAGG
rnacentral:rRNA from 1 species